AAAGAUUAAGCCAUGCAUGUCUAAGUAUAAAUAAAUUUAUAUUGUGAAACUGCGAAUGGCUCAUUAAAUCAGUUAUGAUCUACGUGACAUAUUCUUUACUACUUGGAUAACCGUGGUAAUUCUAGAGCUAAUACAUGCAAAAAAACCCUGACUUCGGAAGGGGUGCACUUAUUAGAUAAAGCCAACGCGGGGUAAAACCUGUUUCCCUUGGUGAUUCAUAAUAAUUAAGCGGAUCGCAUGGCCUUGUGCUAGCGACGGUCCACUCGAUUUUCUGCCCUAUCAUGGUUGAGAUUGUAAGAUAGAGGCUUACAAUGCCUA
rnacentral:rRNA from 1 species